CCACUCACGGCGCCGCCAUUUUUCUUGCAAGCGACGAGUAACACUGGUCCUGGAGUGCAGCAGCUAUCCCGCAGUUUAGCUACAACCCUGAUCAAACACACUUGAAUGUGUUCAGGAUUACUAAAGCUACGUGAAGGAAGGAGGAUGAUUAUGAGGACAGACAAUAAGAGCAGCACAGCUGACACCACAGCACCAAUGACAGGAAGCAGGGAGGCUGAGACAGACACAUGGUUUUGAGUUAAACUUUCAUUAUCAGCAAUCCAGCUAGUUUUUAGGUCUUAUACAUCAAUACCUGUGAUAGUGAUGACCAGCAGUUCAGAAGCAGAUGAACAGAAGAUAGAAGGAGCCUCCAGUAUACUGAGAUUCAGUGGAACAGAUGAUAGUGAAACUGUGACCCCUGGUGAUCACUGGCCCCUGAGGCCCAACAUCAAACUGUCCAUCAGGAGCAAUGCGGGGAAUGCUGGGCUGCUGCAAGUGCAC